UACGUAGGGUGCGAGCGUUGUCCGGAAUUAUUGGGCGUAAAGAGCUCGUAGGCGGUUUGUCGCGUCGGCCGUGAAAACUUGGGGCUUAACCCCAAGCCUGCUUCUGAUACGGGCAGACUAGAGGUAUGCAGGGGAGAACGGAAUUCCUGGUGUAGCGGUGAAAUGCGCAGAUAUCAGGAGGAACACCGGUGGCGAAGGCGGUUCUCUGGGCAUUACCUGACGCUGAGGAGCGAAAGUGUGGGGAGCGAACAGG
rnacentral:rRNA from 1 species